GGCGCUAUAGCCAAGUGGUUACGGCGACAGAUUCGAAUUUCUUGAUUAUCUGUUCCUCUUUGAGGGCGCAGGUUCAAAUCCUGCUGGCGUCG
rnacentral:tRNA from 1 species